CUAUUCUAAAUACUACUUGUUUCAAUUUAUUGACCACUUACUCUUUGUCAGGUAUCUCAUACUCUUUUCUUCAUUUAAAGCUCAUAUCCACUCUCAAGAUCUGUGUCAUUCUCAUUUAACAGGUGAGGAAACUGAGGCUGGGAAGCUAAGCUUUAAGAGGUAGAGCUUGAGUUUCAUCCAUCCAUGCAACAAACAUUUACCGAAUAACCCUGCUCUAGAAGGAGUAUUGGAUGAUCACCACACAAUGAGCAGGAACUGGAACUUCCACCUGUGCCUACACCUGCUACCAAAGCCAUCUAAGGCCUUCUUCUUCAAGCACCUGAUUCUAAGGAUUCUAAAACAUUGUUAUUCAGGGCAUGGUCUUGCAGCACCAGCAGCAACUGGGAUCUCCUGGGAAAUGUAGGUUCUUAGCUCUACUUCCAAACCCACUGAAUCAGAAUCUGCCUUCUGCCAAGGUCCCCAGGUGAGCUGUGAGCAUUCGAGUUUGAAAAGCACUUCUCUGGGGCUGGCGUGUAGCUUGGUGGCAGAGUGCUUGCC
rnacentral:lncRNA from 1 species